GACGAACGCUGGCGGCGUGCUUAACACAUGCAAGUCGAACGGAAAGGCCCUGCGUGUGUGCGGUGCUCGAGUGGCGAACGGGUGAGUAACACGAGAAUAACCGGCCCUACUCUUUGGGAUAACUUCAGGAAACUGGGGCUAAUACCGGAUAGGAGCUGCUGCUGCAUUGAGGGGGUUGGAACUUCGCGGCGGGUGCGGCUGGACUCGCGGCUUAUCAGCUAGUUGGUGGGGUAGUGGCUGACCAAGGCUGUGACGGGUCGGCGGCAUGGGAGCGGGGCCAGCCACAUUAGUACUGAGGUACGGCGCAGAGGCCAACAGGAGGCAGCAGUCGGAAGUCUUACCCAGUGAGCGGGAGCGUGAUACGGAGACGCCGCGUGCGGAAUGACGGCCUUCGGGUUGAGAACCGCUUUCGCCUGUGACGAAGCGGGAGUGACGGUAAUGGAUGAAGAAGCACCGGCUAACUACGUG
rnacentral:rRNA from 1 species